GCCCCCGGGGGCACCAGCUCAGAGACCGGAAAUGGUGAGAAGGACCGCUGGACCAAUAGUUCGAGGUCCCCUGGAAGGGACAUCAGCACUCAAGCAGGGAGUGGUUAUAGAGGCAGCAUGCACCCUGAGCAUCAAGAGUGACACCACCAAGCUCUUUCCUGGAAAAUAUACUCAGCAUCAAGUUGCCCUGGCUAUGAACUGUGUCUACCUUCACAGCUGUAAUCCUGAUUUCUUCAUCUUAAAGAACCAUCUUAAACAUCAUCAAUGUUUAAUAUGAGCAACACAAAUAGAUGGGCACAGAAGAGCUAAAUAUUGACACCCAGCAAAGCAAGGGGAUGAAGCUGCAGCUCAACUGGAAUUCCAUCACCUCCACUAGCUUUGUUCGUCAUGAAGCUUCCUAAGGCCAACCUGACUUUGCAUUCCAGGAUGUCUGGCUCUAGGCCUCUGUUGUCGCUCAGGGCACUUGCCCCGGCCAGCCUGAUGCAGGAUGAGAAAUGCGGAUGAGAGCAAUUGCCCCAGUGAAGAGUCAGCUGAUUUCAGAUGUGUGACUAAACACAGGUCCAUUCAACACUGUCAUAUGGCCAGCCCCAGUUGACGGCACUUGUGAAUGUUACACUCAAAAAGAUGAAUGAUAAUCCAACAAGUAGGUUGGAGGAAUGUUAUGAAUAAAUACAGG
ensembl:lncRNA